UGCAUCUCACAACUCUUUUGGCAGUGGAGGAAACGGGUGUUUUCAUCGCACAGCUCAUCUCACUGACUACUUUCCUUCUUUCCUAAGUAUCUUUGUGUGGUCUGUUUUUCCUUACAUAAGCUACUAUACAUGUUGUUCUUAGUCUUUCUUUGUGUCUUCCUUACUUAGCCUAGCCUACAGUAUAUCAUGCCUGCCAAGAGCUGGCACAGCAUCUAUAGAGAACAAUCAAAUUGCCAUGCUGAUGCUGUCAAAAGAACUGAUUUACACCUUUACUUGUCCUGGUGCUCUCAUUAUAACCUUAGUCAAAUGGAAAUAGUUUGUAUAAUUUCUGUUCACACUGCAAUCUUAAUGCUGGGUUUUGUUCUCAUCACAUUUUUUAUCAGGCUGAUGGAAUUCUGAGCCCUUUCUGUUCUCAUUAAAAUUUACUAGAUGAAGGGAUUAAUUGUGUGCUAGUGUGCCUGGUCUUUUAUGAUCUUUGCAGGAAGAAUCGGACGACUUCUCUCUGAACAAGGAGGGGCGGCCGGUGAACCUAGUGAAAUCAGGCCUUUAAGUCCUCAUGAAAUCGUCGUCGGACGAACUUUCAAUCUUUGUGAAAUCUACGCUGAGAGGCGUCCCAGCUCGGGGGGAGGUACUGGCUCAUGCAGCCUGCUGCCGUCCCAGAGAGCUCAAAGGGUCUCACUUUUGGAUCGCUAUUUAUAGGACCUUGAGAUGAUUCACUUUGGAACUCAACUAAAAGUUUUGUUAAAGGAGAAUAUAAAAAGUGCACUCAUUGAAAUGAAGAUUUGAGAAAACCAGCAAGAAUCUCAGCCUCUUAUUUUGUAAAUAUACACAAAAUCUUGGCACUCGUCCAUUUUUUCUUAACUGCAGCUUAAACCAUAACUAUCGUAAUAGGCUUCAAGAAAUGCCUGCAUUGACAUUUCCGUCUCCCAGGGAGGGGGCAAUGGAUGGAAAUCAUCUUAUGCUACAUCUGAGUAAGUCACUCAAGAUUCCUUUGCCAGUCAGUGGAGAUUCAUCGCUCCCUAAAGCAGAGGUGCAUCAAUCCUGCAACCUGCUCCAAGUACCCAUGUACCACUGCACUUGGUCCCUUCCCAGCUGCCGUUUUCACAGGGAUGCAGGGAUAGAAGCAGCCCCAGCCCAAGAGGGCCGUGGCCUCCACCUGCUCACCUUCACAUCAGAGGAGCUAGAGAGAAGGUGCUCUCUGAGGGGCAGCAAGGGUUGGGUCAGAUGUCAGCACUGCAGAGGAGAACCAAAAAAUGAGGACUAAGGAGCUAAAAUUCUUCCUGCCCCACAGCAAGUCAGUCUGGACCAUACUCUCUUAAGAUACCCUGGCCUCAGCUUGUUCCUUCAUGAUCCCAUGAAAUAUAGAAGAUGAUGUAAAAUAAGAAUUUAACAGAGAAGCACUAGCCCAGCAUGAUCCUAGUCUCAGCAAUUUAGCAGACAAAAUGCAUACAUUGGGAAGGAGUGGUAUCAUUCUUUCUCUUAAUUAAUACUUUCUCCAGGCUGCAACUGAGUAACAAUUAAAUGCAAAAACCCUGCCUUUGUGUAACACCAGGGUUAAUAUUUUAUGCACAGUAGGAGUGAAGAAGGAAGAGAAUGAUAUUAUUUGUCUGCCAAGUCAGAAAAAAUUGGACUAUGCAUAAUUUUUUAUAUGUAAACAAAAACCCCACGUUACUCACUACAAGGUAAAAAUAGGACUCACAUCAUUAGAAUACUAGAAAUAAAGUAAUUUGUCUCAUAGAUCAUGUCGCUGUAAUUACAGUAUUUUUGAAAGGUACACAAUAUAGUCUUGUUCUGUGUCUUAGGGAACUGUGUUGUUUUACUUACUGUCACUAGUGAGCACAUGUUCCAUGUUAUGCUCCUGUAGCUUCAAAUGAAAAGGACACCUAAUACCACACAGAGCGAUUUAACAGGGUUCUAUGUAAGAAGCAGUCUGAUUAGAAGAAUUUAUUGUGAAUAAGAUGAAUCACUGCCAAUAUUAGAAAGUCUGAAAGUGUCUCUGUUAUUGAUUCAAUUACUCUGUCACCUUAAAAAAAUCCCCUUCUGAAGGGAAACUUUCUGAAAUCUCAGAUGCUAGUAUCUCCUGGCUCCUACUGCCUUCCCAUGUGCACUUUCCUGACCUCUGCUAAAGCCUGCCUUCUGUCCUGUAUCCAUCAAUUACAGUGACAGCUGUC